GACCCCGUCGUCCAGCCUGGUCUAGGACACGAGCCUUUCGAGCUCGCGACACGGGUUCAAAUCCCGUCGGGGUCGCCA
rnacentral:tRNA from 1 species